CAGAUUCAAAAGCAAAUGACGGUCGUUUGACGUUUCUUUCAAAUCACCUACGUUGUGAUUUCACAGAACUUUGCCCACUGUACAUUUGAUUCCUCACUACUUACGGAUUGUUACCUGCCAAUAUAUAUUCUCUUCCAUCCACCAGCGGUUAUCUAUGGUAUAUCCUCAGAUUUAGAUAUCACAGACCAGACUAUUAUAUUUCGUAAUUAUGAUUUUCAUUGUGAUGGUUGCAGAGCUGGAUGCUUCUCGCAGAGUUGGCAAAGUUGAGGAUAACAAUAAACAAACAGCUGAAAAAGA